rnacentral:tRNA from 55 species
GCCCGGGUGGUGAAAUUGGUAGACGCAGGGGACUCAAAAUCCCCCACCGAAAGGUGUGCCGGUUCGAUUCCGGCCCCGGGCACCA